CACUGACUAAUUGGACUUUUCAGUGGUUUAUAUUACACAGUUAUAUACCCUAAAAAACAAUAAGAAGUUUUAAAUCCUCCACAAAAAUGUCUUUUGAAGAAUAUUGCACAAAUGAAUUUCGAUUAAAUGCAUAAGACGAACAGAAUUCUACUCGAGCAACUACUGAGCAUUUAUUAUGUUUUCUUAUAUCCAUCAAAAUCUGAUUGAAAACGGUGUAGAAUUGUCAAACAAAACGUAAAAUAUAUCGAAAUUUAAAGUAAUAUGUGUAACUCUCUUAUUUGGGUAAUAUAGCGUACAGUAGAAAUUUACAUCCUUGUCCAUGUGUGCAGUUGAUGUAUCUUUGAAUUUUGAAACACUGGUUUCUACCUUUUUGACACCAAACAAAGAAUGAUGGAUGUUCUUUUAGAGGAGAACGUCAAGAAACAUGUAUUUUAAUAUAUAGCUUAAUCUGAUAUAACAGUGGCUACAAAAAUCGAUGAAAAAAAAACUAGAGGUCCGCAUUCAAAAAAAUUAGGUUGAUGAAAUCUAAUGAACGAAACGCAGCAUUGCAAAUUGAUCCACAUCAGGAGCAGCAGUAAAGAAUAUCAUCACCCUAUAUACUAUAUAUACACCCUAUAUAUACACAUAUACUUUCCACGAAAUCAAGUACAGAAUAAAAUCAAUUUCUUACAAGGAACUCCGACUUUCGUUUUGAACAAAUUUAAAUUCAAUUCCAUAACAUUAUAUGGAAGUUGGUUAAAAAAAAUUCAACUAUAAUAAGGAAUGACAUGAAGAACUGACUGACUCUAGAUCGAGUUUCAGGACUCUUAAGAAUGAUAGGCAAAAAAAAGCUGAUGAGUGUGCUAGAUAAGGAUCGACAAUUUCCUACAUGGGAUCUGUCCAACCUGUUGGGGCACCAAAAUCUUGGGUCGAUAAAAAAGAAAAAUAUACCUGGGAACAAACAUGGAAAAAAAAUUUAUAAAAAAAUUGUCUGCUUUAACAGAACACCUGCACGAAAUGAGGCUAUAUAAUGGAGACCUUAGCUGCAAGGCCAGUGAAUGCAAAGAGACAGAAAGAGCUUAUCAUAUAUCAUAUCUUAGACCACUGGAUAACCGGAAGCAAGAUUGCUGAAUAUUGUUGAAUUAGGUGCCAUGAAUAGAUGGGACAAAAAACAGUGUUAUCCAUAGACUUGGAAGAAAUUGAUAGGUCGAACAACUCCAAAAAUGUUAUUGAAAACUUUGAUAUUUUUCAUUAUAAGAAUUAUGUUAGAACCUCAUAUAAAAGUAUCGUAAGUUCUAACUAAAAUGUAUGUAAAAUGAUACUGUUACAGUUUAUGUAAAUUAGACAAAGCUUUUCAAUCUCAAAAAUAUUCACCAAACUUA